GCCCGGGCCUCCCGCACGGAAGCGCGCGGAGACCCGAGCCCUCAGUGCGGCGGCGAAUGUUUCUUUGUAAUUCCAGAUACCCCCACCGCAAACACGCACAGCAGCAUCAAUGGCCUCCCUGGUUCCUGGACCCUAGGUACCUCACCAUGCCUUGUUUCCCUUCACUCAGCUCACAUCUCAGGGCAGAAGUCCUUCAUCAGAAACUCUUGAAUCUUCUGAGUUGAAUUCUCUUCCCUCCAGGGAUGCUUUUUAAACAAAUGGAGGUAAAAAGCUCACAUACAAGAUUUAUUUUAAAGGCCUUUUCAAAGUUUUACUCAUGCGUUACUAGAGACCCGGCUUGAUAUUGGCCAUCAUUUACAUUAUCAUAAACAGUGAGAAUAAAUGUUUGCAAUGUGAUACUGAGGCUUAAUUUUUGUUGUGCCAUGUGAAUCAUCAAUUAUUAAAUAAUCAUCAGCAUAAAUUUGUGUGAGAAGCCCAUGCACAUAUGGUCAAUUAAUUUACAAUGAGGAAAUCAAGAAUGUGUAAUGGGGAAAGGACAGCUUCUUCAAUAAAUGGUGUUGGAAAAGCUGAACAGCACAAGCAAAAGAAUGAAACUAAACUAUUACCUUACACCAUACACAAAAAUGAACUCAAACUGGAAGACUUGAAUGUAAGACCUGAAGCCAUAAAACUCCUAGAAGAAAACACAGGCAUAAGGUCCUUGACAUGAGUCUUAGUGACGAUUUUUUGGAUCUGACUCCAAAAGAAAAUGCAGAAAAAGCAAAAUUAAACAAGCAGAAUUACAUUAAACUCAAAGGUUUCUUCAUAACAAAGGAUAUCAUCAAUGAAAUUAAAAUUCAAUCUACUGAAUAGAAGAUAUUUGCAAAUCAUAUAUAUGAUAAAGUGUUAAUAUUCAAAACAUAGAAAGAAUUUAUACUAUUCCUAGCAGAAAACUAAGAAAUUCAAUUAAAAAUGGGCAGAAGAUCUGAGUAGACAUUUUUCCAAAGAAGACAUACGAGUGGUCAACAGGUACAUGAAGAGAUGCUCAACAUCCUUAAUCAUCAGGGAAAUGCAAAUCAAAACCACAAUGAGCUAUCACCUCACACCUGUUAAAAUGGUUGUUAUCAAAAAGACAAGAGAUAGCAAGUGUUGGCAAGGGUAUGGAGAAAAGGGAACCAUCGUGUACUGCUGGCUGGGAUUGCAAACUGGUGUAGCCACCAUGGAAAACAGUGUGGAGGUUCCUUAAAAAAAUUAAAAAUAGAACUACCAUAUCCAGCAAUUCCACUUUGGGAUAUUUAUUUAAAGAAAAAGAAAAUACUAAUUCAAAAAGAUAUAUGCACGCCUCUGUUCAUUGCAGCAUUAUUUAUAAUACCUAAGAUAGGAAAACAACCUAAGUGUCCAUAUAUGGAUGAAUGGAUAAAGAAGAUGUGAUAUUUAUACACAGAGGAAUGUAUUGUAAUACUAUUCAGCCAUAAAAAAUAAUGAAAUGUUGCCAUUUGCGACAAUAUGGAUAGAACUUGAGGGCACUAUGCUAAGUGAAAUAAGUCAGACAAAGAAAAGCAGAUACUGUAUUACCUUGCUUAUAGGUGGAUUCUAAUAAACAAAACAAACAAAUUUAAAAAAACCAAGCUGAUACAGAGAACAGAUUGGUGGUUGCCAGGAUGAGGGAGGGGAGGAGCAAAAUGGGUGAAGGUGGUGAAAGGGUACAAACUUCCAGCUAUAAAAUAAAUGAGUUCAUGGUCAUGUAAUGUACUGCAUAGUGACUAUAUUUAAUAAGACUGUAUUGCAGAGUUGAAAGUUGCUAAGAAAGUAGAACUUAAAAGUCCUCAUCAUAAAGAAAAAAAAAAGACAAAAUUUUUGUAACUAUAUACGGUAGACAGAUGUUAAUUAGACUUCUUAUAGUGAUCAUUUCUUAAUGUAUACAAAUGUCAAAUCAUUAUCUUGUACACCUGAAACUAAUGUACUGUUAUAUGUCAAUUACACACCAAUAAAAACAAAUAAAGUA